rnacentral:sRNA from 1 species
UUUUCUUUUUCGGUGUUCUUUCUCUCCGCCAGACUUAUUCUUUUAAGAGAGUAAACAAAGGGGAACUCGCAUACUGGAUCAACACCCUCGGCAUUUUCCAACCUUUGUAAUUGAUCAUUCCAAAUAAUGUAUAAUAAUGGAGUCAUAGGAAACAUUCCUACCCCUAUACACUAUCUGAAAGUCGUCUCAAUCUCUCAUUAUAUUUUUC